UACAGAGGGUGCGAGCGUUAAUCGGAAUUACUGGGCGUAAAGCGCGCGUAGGUGGUUUGUUAAGUUGGAUGUGAAAGCCCCGGGCUCAACCUGGGAACUGCAUCCAAAACUGGCAAGCUAGAGUACGGUAGAGGGUGGUGGAAUUUCCUGUGUAGCGGUGAAAUGCGUAGAUAUAGGAAGGAACACCAGUGGCGAAGGCGACCACCUGGACUGAUACUGACACUGAGGUGCGAAAGCGUGGGGAGCAAACAGG
rnacentral:rRNA from 1 species